rnacentral:tRNA from 1 species
GGCCCCAUCGUUUAGCGGCCUAGGACGCUGCCCUUUCACGGCAGUAGCACGGGUUCGAAUCCCGUUGGGGUCAC